ensembl:lncRNA novel transcript
GCGGACCCACGGCACACCGAACGCACUCCAACAGAACCCGACGCAGACACGCGCUUUCAACCGGCGGAGACACUGGCAGCUGAUCCAUAUGAAUUCCUCUUAUUAAGAAAAAUAAAGCAUCCAGGAUUCAAUGAAGAACUGACUAUCACCUUGUUAAUCAUUCAGAAACAUGUUGCAGGCUUAAGCCAUUUUUGAUAUAGAUACUGAAACAAUUACUUGCUAAGAGCAAACUUGAAGGAAUUAGAGAAAGAACAAAUCAGUGUGAAGGAGAAUUGUCAGUAAAAUUACAAGAAAAGAUUGAGAUCAUAAUUGACCUUUGAGGAUAAUAAAAUUUAAAGACCAAAAGGAUGGACUUCACAGAAACAUGACCUUAGGUUGUUUUUGCAGUUGUAGUAACUGGUUAUAUGACCAACAAAAUAUGAAGAAUGGGUACAAAUUCUGAUAGUAAUGAUCAGUCACUUUGCAAAUAUAAAGCUACUAUUUACUACUGUAUUGUACAGGUUCAAUAAUCUUUGUGUACACAUUUUAUGUAUUUAUUGUCAGGCUGCUAUAUAAUUCAGUAUUUAUAAUAGAUACUAUGUAUAGCAAUCUAUGGUUAGUUUUGGUCUUAACCAGGAAAAAUCACUCUUUUGAGUUUUGCUGUUUUUACUAGAUUAUUUUUACUGGAUGAUUGCUCAUAUUAUUUGAUUAUUAUUGCAAUUUGUCUUUCUGGAAUAGGAAGCAAGAGGCCUGAAUUCUGGUUCCUAUUCUAUCAAUUGUGUGAAUUCUGGAAACUCAGUUUACUUUUCUGGGCCUCAUGGUUUUCAUCUGAAUGAUGACCAACUUGGAUAAAAUGGUCUUUAUAUAAUUUCGUAGGCAUUUCCCUUCCCAAGGGCUUGAGUCUUUUUCAACAAUUAUAGAGUUUUCCGGUCCCUCUUCCCAGUGCCUCAGCACCUUGCUAUUCAUGUUCAUCUGAUCAGUUGUUUGCAUGCUGACUUACAUUACCCUGAUGGGCAGUACCUGUGGCUGUUUCUGCUCCCUCACCCAGUCCAUAGGCUUCUGGUUGUAAAAAGUGUGCAUCUUGAGACUGUGGACAGUUAGCUCCAGAGGUGACAGUAUAAUCACUUCACGUAGAAGAGGAUAGAGAGAGACUCAUGCCAGUGGUGGUGAGCAAGUAUUAGAGAUAUGAUGUGUGCCUCUGUGAGUUUUGGGGUCUAAGAUAAAUUAUGGCACUAGGAAGAUGGUCCUUUGUGUCAGAAGAACUGGAGUUGUUGGUGCAAAAAAGUAUGAUGUCAGCAUAGCAGUUUUAUUUGUACCUCAGCAACUUCUAAAAUAAUCUCUAUUAAGUGUUUUCAGGAACUACUUUCUACUAUAGGAAAAUCAUUGAGGUGAGUAUCCAUCUGGACACAGAGAAAUAUAACACUGUUUUCUGCUCACCCUCCACUUCACAUAUAAAUACAACAUGUGUUAAAGGACUAAAUUUCUAGUGUCACAGUUUGUACUUUAUAGUUUGAAGUCAAUAAGAAAGCUCAUAUACCUUCCUAAAAGUCACUUGUUAAUGUUUGAUAUUAAUCUAAUUUUAUCAUAAAUUAAAAGUAUAAAACUACAAAUUUCUUAAAGAUAAAAUAUCCAAAUGGAUUCAGUCAAAUUAAGCAUGAUAAUAUCAAAUAUCAGAAUAGGUUACCAUGCAGGAGGUACUGAGUACUUAAAAGGAUGGGGAAUGCAAUGAACAUAAAAGCUGGUACCAAGGGGAGGAGGAGACAGCGAUGAAUUAAAACAUUAUCUUAACUAA